UACGAAGGUCCCGAGCGUUGUUCGGAAUCACUGGGCGUAAAGGGAGCGUAGGCGGCGUGGUAAGUCAGAUGUGAAAUCCCGGGGCUCAACCCCGGAACUGCAUCCGAUACUGCCGUGCUUGAGGGUUGGAGAGGUAGCUGGAAUUAUCGGUGUAGCAGUGAAAUGCGUGGAUAUCGAUAGGAACACUCGUGGCGAAGGCGAGCUACUGGACAACAUCUGACGCUGAGGCUCGAAGGCCAGGGGAGCAAAAGGG
rnacentral:rRNA from 1 species